rnacentral:rRNA from 1 species
UACCAGCACCCCGAGUGGUUGGGACGAUUAUUGGGCCUAAAGCAUCCGUAGCCGGUUUUACAAGUCCUCCGUUAAAUCCACCUGCUUAACAGAUGGGCUGCGGAGGAUACUAUAGAGCUAGGAGGCGGGAGAGGCAAGCGGUACUUAGUGGGUAGGGGUAAAAUCCGUUGAUCCAUUGAAGACCACCAGUGGCGAAGGCGGCUUGCCAGAACGCACUCGACGGUGAGGGAUGAAAGCUGGGGGAGCAAACCGG